UGCUGGUGUCAUACCACCCUGCAUCCCACUCCUGGCUUGCUUCUGAAGCUAAGAAGGGUUGGUCCUGGUCAGUCCCUGGAUGGGAGACCAGAUGCUGCUGGAAGUGGUGUUGGAGGGCCAGUAG
ensembl:rRNA 5S_rRNA 5S ribosomal RNA